AGAGUUUGAUCAUGGCUCAGGAUGAACGCUAGCGGCAGGCUUAAUACAUGCAAGUCGAGGGGCAGCAUGGUGUAGCAAUACACUGAUGGCGACCGGCAAACGGGUGCGGAACACGUACGCAACCUACCCAUAACUGGGGGAUAGCCCGGGGAAACCCGGAUUAAUACCUCGUAAUACUAUGAUGUGGCAUCAUGUUAUAGUUAUAGCUCCGGUGGUUAUGGAUGGGCGUGCGCCUGAUUAGGUAGUUGGCGGGGUAACGGCCCACCAAGCCUACGAUCAGUAACUGGUGUGAGAGCACGACCAGUCACACGGGCACUGAGACACGGGCCCGACUCCUACGGGAGGCAGCAGUAAGGAAUAUUGGUCAAUGGACGCAAGUCUGAACCAGCCAUGCCGCGUGAAGGAUGAAGGUCCUCUGGAUUGUAAACUUCUUUUGUAUGGGACGAAACCCUCGUUUUCUAACGGGAUUGACGGUACCAUAGGAAUAAGCACCGGCUAACUCCGUGCCAGCAGUCGCGGUAAUACGGAGGGUGCAAGCGUUAUCCGGAUUCACUGGGUUUAAAGGGUGCGUAGGAGGGCAGGGAAGUCAGUGGUGAAAUCUCCGGGCUUAACUCGGAAACUGCCGUUGAUACUCUCUGUCUUGAAUACCGUGGAGGUGAGCGGAAUAUGUCAUGUAGCGGUGAAAUGCUUAGAUAUGACAUA
rnacentral:rRNA from 1 species